UACAGAGGGGGCAAGCGUUAUUCGGAAUUAUUGGGCGUAAAGGGCGCGUAGGCGGCUUUUGCAAGUGGCGGGUGAAAUCCCUCGCUUAACCGAGGAAGUGCGCCCGAAACUGCAGAGCUUGAGUGCCGGAGAGGGUGGCGGAAUUCCCCAAGUAGAGGUGAAAUUCGUAGAUAUGGGGAGGAACACCGGUGGCGAAGGCGGCCACCUGGACGGUAACUGACGCUGAGACGCGAAAGCGUGGGGAGCAAACAGG
rnacentral:rRNA from 1 species